rnacentral:tRNA from 4 species
GCUAGGGUAGCUCAGAGGUAGAGCAGUCGUUUCAUAAGCGACGGGUCGUGGGUUCGAAUCCCGCCCCUAGCACCA